CCCUCUCCCUCCCCACCUCCCAGCCCGCCGGGUGUAAUCGUCCCUCUUCCGGAGAUGAACGCGAAGCGACGUGGAAACCUUUCCACCAAAAUGAGCUGUGAUAUCCUUUUGAUGGCUAUAAUUUAUUCCAAAUCGUCCCUGGACUGAAACGAUCAAUUAGCAGCCUGAAACGCACUGUGAAGUAAAUUGUCACACUCUCUAUUACAGGAUGGUUAUCAUAUAUUUAUAAGGUGUGUUUUCUGCAAUCAGAACCAACAAGGUGUUGAGCGAUCAGUCAUAAACGCACUUCUUCAAAAAAAAGAGAGGGAGAGAAGCUUCAGUAUUGUAUGGCAGGGGAGAAAAAUCCUUAUGACAGUUAUCCCUAGUGAUGCUUCCUCUGGAAACUGGAAAGAGCAGUGAGGGCUCUGCACUGACUUCUCUCAGACACUCACAGCCCCGGAGCAGUGGGGGCUGUGAACUAGCAGGAGAAUGGUAGUCCUCAGAGGAGAGGUUUCUGUACUGUGUAAGCACAGA
ensembl:lincRNA Gm29464 predicted gene 29464